UUAAGUUGGUUUAGCCUGUUUUUAGCUGGUCUCCCAGCUUGUCCAGGCUGAUCAGGCUGGUUUUAGCUGGUCUCUAAUUUUUACCAUAUUUUCUAUCGCCCUACAACUAAGCCUACCCAUUACAGGAAAUAUUCUGCUAUUUCAGAUUUUCAAUACACUCCAUGUGUGAUUUAUAAGCUUGUCUCCUCAUGGGGACCUAAAAAAUGUCCCUACAAGGUCAAAAUGCACUGGUAUUAGGCUUACUAUACUAUUCUAUAAUUACUAUAUUUACAUUUGGUCCCCAUAAUGUGAUAAAUACCAGGUGUACACACACACACACACACACACAAACAGUGAUCACAAAAUAAAACAACACAAAAAAUAGAAAAAGAAUAGAUGAUUUAAUAAUAAUUUAAGUUAUUUAUUUAAGUUAUGUUCUAAUUUUAAAUGUUUAUUAAUGUAAAUUCUGCGUGACUGUGACGUGUUUAAAUGGGCGUGCGUGCUGAACAUUCGAGUCUCAUUCAAACACUGGAGCGGAGGGAGUUGCCAUAGAAACGGAGCGCGAACACAACAACUGACAAGCCGGGAAUCACUGACUUUUGCUGCUGUUUUCAAAGCUUUCGGAGAGAGAAAAAAACCUCAGAAACAGGAGAAGCUCCAAGAUUUCACAAUUUCUGAAGGCAGAAGAACUGGGAAAGCUUCUUAAAUUUUUAAGAGCGCUUUGACAUACAUAAAUUCUUCAGUGCUAAUGGCCUGCUGCACCCCAGAGUCCUGUCAGACAACAUCUACAAAGAACACUGAACCAUUGGGCUAAUAACUUAACCUCAAAUAUACACUAUUGUUCAAAAUUCAGUAAGAUAUUUAAUGUUUUAACACAAUUCACACAUAACACAUCUCAUUACCGUGCACUACAGUUAUAUGUGAUGAAAUAAAUAAUCUUUUAUGUGAAAUAAUACGAACAGCAGCUAUGCUAAUCUUUCUCCUUUUGGUUUCCUGUUUCUAUCCCGGGAUGCCCAUCUCAAAGUUACUAGAGAUUACGCCAGUUCCAGUUUGGAUCCAGCCUUCAGAAGACACCAACACUCACAAUGACUUCAGAUGAUGACAACUAUAGGUGAACAUACAAGUCUGCCAAAUAUUAUCCUUAUAUUGUGGUCAUUGCCCUAAAAGGGAGGAACUUCUCAACAAAUUCACUUCACAGCGCAUCACUGGAAGGCUUUCCUAUGUAACAAACAUAGUUUUCCACUCUUGUAUUUAUCCAUAUCAG